rnacentral:lncRNA from 1 species
UUGAAAUAACCCAUCAUCGCAAAGAGACCUAAUAAUCAAAUUCUGCAAGUAAAGAUUGGGUUUUCCUAUUCCUUUGAAAGUCGAGAGAGCUAACUGUGGAAAACCCAGGUCAAAGCAAUGCCUAAGAAAAUCUCCAACCUGAGUUUUUUGUUGUGGGAAUAUGCCGCUCACAAUGAGGUGAGACUUGAGAGAUUCUAAGUGUACAAUGCUUUGGCAGAGUGACAGGAGGCGAAGGAAGUUGGCGUAAAGGGAAUUUGUUGAGUUGUGAAUUGGGUGUUUGUGAAUUGUGAGAGGAAUUGAAGUUGGAGGAGGAGGAGAGAGA